rnacentral:rRNA from 1 species
AGAGUUUGAUCCUGGCUCAGAACGAACGCUGGCGGCGUGCCUAACACAUGCAAGUCGAGGGAGAAAGCCCGCAAGGGUGAGUACACCGGCGAACGGGUGCGUAACACGUGGAUAAUCUACCUCGGUGACCGGGAUAACUGGCCGAAAGGCUUGCUAAUACCGGAUGAGCCCACGACGUCUUCGGACGAAGGGGGAAAAGGCGGCCUCUGCAAGCAAGCUGUCACACCGGGAUGAGUCCGCGGCCCAUCAGCUAGUUGGCGGGGUAAAAGCCCACCAAGGCGACGACGGGUAGCUGGUCUGAGAGGAUGAUCAGCCACACUGGAACUGAGACACGGUCCAGACUCCUACGGGAGGCAGCAGUGGGGAAUCUUGCGCAAUGGGCGAAAGCCUGACGCAGCAACGCCGCGUGUGUGAUGAAGGUCUUCGGAUCGUAAAGCACUGUCGCGAGGGAAGAGAUGCCCCGGAACAACAAGCCGGGGCUAGGACGGUACCUCGAGAGGAAGCACCGGCUAACUCUGUGCCAGCAGCCGCGGUAAUACAGAGGGUGCGAGCGUUGUU